GACGAACGCUGGCGGCGUGCUUAACACAUGCAAGUCGAGCGGUAAGGCCCUUUCGGGGUACGACGAGCGGCGAACGGGUGAGUAACACGUGGGUGACCUGCCCCUCAGCUCUGGGAUAAGCCUGGGAAACUGGGUCUAAUACUGGAUAUGACUCCACGGUGCAUGUCGUGGGUGGAAAGCCUUGUGCGGCUGAGGAUGGGCCCGCGGCCUAUCAGCUUGUUGGUGGGGUGA
rnacentral:rRNA from 1 species